CCUACGGGUGGCUGCAGUGGGGAAUAUUGGACAAUGGGGGGAACCCUGAUCCAGCCAUGCCGCGUGUGUGAAGAAGGCCCUCGGGUUGUAAAGCACUUUCAGUGAGGAAGAACGCCUGGUGGUUAAUACCCAUCAGGAAAGACAUCACUCACAGAAGAAGCACCGGCUAACUCCGUGCCAGCAGCCGCGGUAAUACGGAGGGUGCGAGCGUUAAUCGGAAUUACUGGGCGUAAAGCGCGCGUAGGUGGCUUGAUAAGCCGGUUGUGAAAGCCCCGGGCUCAACCUGGGAACGGCAUCCGGAACUGUCAAGCUAGAGUGCAGGAGAGGAAGGUAGAAUUCCCGGUGUAGCGGUGAAAUGCGUAGAGAUCGGGAGGAAUACCAGUGGCGAAGGCGGCCUUCUGGACUGACACUGACACUGAAGUGCGAAAGCGUGGGUAGCAAACAGGAUUAGAUACCCUAGUAGUC
rnacentral:rRNA from 1 species